rnacentral:rRNA from 1 species
UUGCCAGACUCCUACGGGAGGCAGCAGUGAGGAAUAAUGGUCAAUGGGCUUACGCCUGAACCAGCCAAGUCGCGUGAGGGAAGACUGCCCUAUGGGUUGUAAACCUCUUUUGUCAGGGAGCAAUUGGCGCUACGUGUAGCGUUAUCGAGAGUACCUGAAGAAAAAGCAUCGGCUAACUCCGUGCCAGCAGCCGCGGUAAUACGGAGGAUGCGAGCGUUAUCCGGAUUUAUUGGGUUUAAAGGGUGCGUAGGCGGAGCAUUAAGUCAGCGGUAAAAUCGAGGGGCUCAACCCCUUUAAGCCGUUGAAACUGGUGAUCUUGAGUGGGCGAGAAGUAUGCGGAAUGCGUGGUGUAGCGGUGAAAUGCAUAGAUAUCACGCAGAACUCCGAUUGCGAAGGCAGCAUACCGGCGCCCAACUGACGCUGAAGCACGAAAGCGUGGGUAUCGAACAGGAUUAGAUACCCCUGUAC